rnacentral:rRNA from 1 species
CACGUAGUUAGCCGGCGCUUCUUCUGCAAGUACCGUCACUUUCGCUUCUUCCUUGCUGAAAGAGGUUUACAACCCGAAGGCCGUCAUCCCCCACGCGGCGUCGCUGCAUCAGGCUUUCGCCCAUUGUGCAAUAUUCCCCACUGCUGCCUCCCGUAGGAGUCUGGGCCGUGUCUCAGUCCCAGUGUGGCCGGUCGCCCUCUCAGGCCGGCUACCCGUCAUCGCCUUGGUGAGCCACUACCUCACCAACAAACUGAUAGGCCGCGAGCCCAUCCCCCACCGAAAACUUUCCACCACCAACCAUGCGGCCAGUAGUCAUAUCCGGUAUUAGCCCCGAUUUCUCGGAGUUAUCCCAAAGUGAAGGGCAGGUUACUCACGUGUUACUCACCCGUUCGCCACUAAUCCACUGUGCAAGCACAGCUUCAUCGUUCGACUUGCAUGUGUUAAGCACGCCGCCAGCGUUCUCCUGACGCAGGACUACAACUCCUA